AAUGAAUAGUCUCAAGAAAUGUCUAUAAUGGGCUCUGAGAUGAGGUCAAGAAUGAGGCCACAUGCACUGUUCCCCAUUUCUGGCUGUGAAAUGUGCUAUAAUAGAAGAGUUGGCUAUUUGUACAAUGUGACUUAAGAGAUUAACAGUACCCCUACUGACAUCUAAGAAAGGAGGUGCCAUUUCUUCCCAGAGGCUGGACCACUCAACAAGAGAAAGUGGGAAGGAGACAGCAGGCUUCUGCAUAAAAAAUCAGAGGCAAGUGGAGGAAGCAGUGUUUAGUGAGCCCCAGAACAGGCAGGUUUGGGCUCCAGUCCUUACUGCAUUUGAUAUUUCCACCUACGCAUCUCUCCAGCUUCUCCUGUAUCCACCCCUAAGCCCCACAGCAUCCAGACCUAGAAAUCUUCAAGGGCUCAUACCCAUAUUUCUUUUUAAAAGUU
rnacentral:lncRNA from 1 species